UUCUCGCGCAUGCGUCGCACAGGUCAGAUUUCCGGUCCGGAUUGGGCAGCAGUACGAGCUACAGCCAAGUGCAGCUUUUUAAUUCAGUUUUUCUGUUUAAUAUUCUUAUCGCUGUUGUUAUUCUGCACAACCACUGUUAUCGCGACGGACAUGACGAGGGGUAGUUAAGGGUGCACUGCCUCUACCGACAGCUGUGGCGGACUGUUGCGUGGUUGGGCAUGCUGUGAGCACUCUAUGGGACGUGUCGUCCCCCUAACAGGCAGCAGGACAGCUGUGGGAGAUAGACGCACUACUGGUGUCAGAGACUGCAGCUUAACUUCAAAUUGGGAGAAAUGGGCAAACGUAAAGAUCUGAGUGACUUUGACAAGGGACGGAUUGUCAUGGCCAGACGACUGGGUCGGAGCAUCUCUGAAACGGCACGGCUUGUGGGCUGUUCCCGGUCGGCGGUGGUGAAUACCUACCAGCAGUGGUUAAAGGAGGGAAGAACUACGAACCGGCGACAGGGUGUGGGGCGCCCACGCCUCAUCGACGCGCAGGGGCAGCGGCGGCUGUCCCGUCUGGUACGGAGCGACAGAAAGGCUACUGUGGCACAACUGACGGAAAAAUUUAAUUCUGCACACGAAACAACUGUAUCGGAACACACAGUGCAUCGCACCCUGUUGCGUAUGGGGCUGCGUUGCCGCAGUCCGGUUCGAGUUCCAAGAAAAAUGAGCAUAAAGUCAGAAAGCAGACUGGACCAAAAAUUGUACAUAAGUUCCUUUCCUACCCUCUCUGAUCAGACUGAAAGUAUAUAUGGUUAGAUUGAAAGGUUGGCUGAGGAACAUCACAUGAUUCUUUGCUAUGCGAUUAAACAGCCUUCCAGGAGGCUGCAAGCUAACAUGAAUAUAACACCAUAUGUCUAUAUACCAUAUACCUGUCUAUGUCCUUUUGUCAGUGGUAGUUUUUUUGUUUCAUUUUUAUAUUUGUUUUUAUUCGAGAUCCACUUUAGUUUUAGUUAGGUUUUCGUGUGGUUUUAUUAGUCUUUAAGGAUGUAUAUCUGUCUUGUUUUUAUAUAUUUUAGUUUAGGUUUUAGCAAUUUUAUUUCUAGGGAUAGAUGGAAGAC